rnacentral:lncRNA from 1 species
UAGAACCCCUACGGCCUGUUAUUUUGCGAUGUACCUUAUUUACUACUUUGGCUGACGAUGGUGUUAAUUCCGUGACCUGUACAAGUCAAGAGCGCUCUGAGCCGUUUUCCCACGAGGUGUCAGCAGGUGCAGGAACUUAACUGAAACAUGUAAAGAUCUCUUCAAUGUAAGACAGAAAAUGAUGGACACAAUUCAAUGGAUAUCAAUCAACAAAGAGGCCUCUACAUUAUGGACAAGGUAUGUGUAUGAAAACCAUUAUCAAAACAGCUUUUUUUCAUUCACAUUAACUGCAGAACCCAAGGCAUGAAUUCUGUCGUGUGCGUGUUUUGUUAAUCAUCUGUGUAAUUACUAUUUUGGGGAUUUAUGGACUUCAC